CGCAGGGCCCGCUGCCCCGGUGCUGGCAGAUGUUUCUCAAUAAAUAUAUCCUGUGAGCAAAUCCUAUGUCAAUUAUGCGUGUGGCAGCUACGUUUUUAUCAGUCUGUGAUGUCAUGGAAAGGAUGAAAAAUGAUUUUCCCUCCUUCAAGGAUCUGCAUGGAAACUU